GAUGAACGCUAGCGACAGGCUUAACACAUGCAAGUCGAGGGGCAGCAGGGCUUUCGGGCCGCUGGCGACCGGCGCACGGGUGAGUAACACGUAUGCAACCUACCUUUAACACGGGGAUAGCCCGGAGAAAUCCGGAUUAAUACCCGAUGACACAGGGAUGCCGCAUGGCAAUAUUUGUUAAAGAUUCAUUGGUUAAAGAUGGGCAUGCGUUGGAUUAGCUAGUUGGUAGGGGUAACGGCCCACCAAGGCAACGAUCCAUAGGGGUUCUGAGAGGAAGGUCCCCCACACUGGUACUGAGACACGGACCAGACUCCUACGGGAGGCAGCAGUGAGGAAUAUUGGUCAAUGGGCGGGAGCCUGAACCAGCCAAGUCGCGUGAAGGAUGACGGUAUUAUGUAUUGUAAACUUCUUUUAUGGGGGAAUAAAAAAGAGGACGUGUCCUUUCUUGUAUGUACCCCAUGAAUAAGCAUCGGCUAACUCCGUGCCAGCAGCCGCGGUAAUACGGAGGAUGCGAGCGUUAUCCGGAUUUAUUGGGUUUAAAGGGUGCGUAGGUGGGAAGAUCAGUCAGCGGUGAAAGUUUGAAGCUUAACUUUAAAAUUGCCGUUGAAACUGUCUUCCUUGAGUGUGAACGAGGUAGGCGGAAUUCGUAGUGUAGCGGUGAAAUGCAUAGAUAUUACGAAGAACCCCGAUAGCGCAGGCAGCUUACCAGGCCACAACUGACACUGAUGCACGAAAGUGUGGGUAUCAAACAGGAUUAGAUACCCUGGUAGUCCACACAGUAAACGAUGAUAACUAACUGUUUGCGAUAUACAGUAAGCGGUACAGCGAAAGCGUUAAGUUAUCCACCUGGGGAGUACGCCGGCAACGGUGAAACUCAAAGGAAUUGACGGGGGCCCGCACAAGCGGAGGAACAUGUGGUUUAAUUCGAUGAUACGCGAGGAACCUUACCCGGGCUCGAACGGCUAAUGAAUGUUUGUGAAAGCAGGCAGUCUUCGGACAUUAGUCGAGGUGCUGCAUGGUUGUCGUCAGCUCGUGCCGUGAGGUGUCGGCUUAAGUGCCAUAACGAGCGCAACCCUUAUCUUUAGUUACCAUCAGGUCAAGCUGGGGACUCUGGAGAGACUGCCACCGUAAGGUGUGAGGAAGGUGGGGAUGACGUCAAAUCAGCACGGCCCUUACGUCCGGGGCGACACACGUGUUACAAUGGGUGGGACAGCAGGUUGCUACCUGGUGACAGGAUGCUAAUCCAUGAAACCCACUCCCAGUUCGGAUCGAAGUCUGCAACCCGACUUCGUGAAGCUGGAUUCGCUAGUAAUCGCGCAUCAGCCAUGGCGCGGUGAAUACGUUCCCGGGCCUUGUACACACCGCCCGUCAAGCCAUGGAAGCUGGUGGUACCUGAAGUCCGUAACCGCAAGGAUCGGCCUAGGGUAAAACUGGUAACUGGGGCU
rnacentral:rRNA from 1 species